rnacentral:rRNA from 1 species
UGGGGAAUAUUGCACAAUGGGCGCAAGCCUGAUGCAGCCAUGCCGCGUGUAUGAAGAAGGCCUUCGGGUUGUAAAGUACUUUCAGCGGGGAGGAAGGCGAUAAGGUUAAUAACCUUGUCGAUUGACGUUACCCGCAGAAGAAGCACCGGCUAACUCCGUGCCAGCAGCCGCGGCAAUACGGAGGGUGCACGCGUUAAUCGGAAUUACUGGGCGUAAAGCGCACGCAGGCGGUCUGUCAAGUCGGAUGUGAAAUCCCCGGGCUCAACCUGGGAACUGCAUUCGAAACUGGCAGGCUAGAGUCUUGUAGAGGGGGGUAGAAUUCCAGGUGUAGCGGUGAAAUGCGUAGAGAUCUGGAGGAAUACCGGUGGCGAAGGCGGCCCCCUGGACAAAGACUGACGCUCAGGUGCGAAAGCGUGGGGAGCAAACA